AGUAACAGAUAGUCAACGAAAACUUUCUUUUGAUUAUAGGACUUAUGAUCUCCCAGCUGGUGCAGUGGUAAAUAAUCUGCCUGCCAGUGCAGGAGACACAGGAGAGUCAGGUUUGAUCCCUAGGUCAGGAAGAUGCUCUGGAGGAGGAAAUGGCAACUCACUCCAGUAUUCUUGCCUGGGAAAUUCUGGGACAGAGGAGCCUGGUGGUCUGCAAUCCAUGGGGUCACAGUCAGACAUGACGGAGCACACAUGCGCAAGGACAGAGAAAGUGUUAAAAAUGUUAAAUGAGGUCUUCCCACCUGUUAUUACAGAUAAACUUCAGAGAGCCACCAUCAAAUUGAGAGAAAAAGACAGGCAGUGAAGAAAACAAAGGGCUACUGGAGAUUUGAGAACUAGGUAUUUAAAAGCAUGGGUGUGGUUACUGGCAUGUGGAGCUGAUGAGACAAAUAGAGAAGAAGCCUCUUAAGUAUUUGAGAGAAGUGUACUGCCAAAGAAACCACAAACCUGGACUGAAGGCGCCUUUGACUGGAGAAGCUGAAAAUGGCCUUUGUGCUCAGAAGCUUAAGUGAAUAAGGAACCUGAGGAGGCUGCUCUUCAGCCCCGAGACUUAUUUCCAGAUACAAUCAAAGAAGGCAAUGGGGAGAAAAAGAACUGCCAUAGGGUGGCACAUACAGAUGGAUCUGAGAACGCUGUCUGGGCUUGGUGCCAAGCGCUGGUAUUUCACAGCAGCGACCGCCUCACAGAAGGGCUGUGGGAAGCAGGAGGGAGACUCUCUUAGGGUGCCACUACUAUGGAGACACAGCUGGGCUGAACAAGAUUUGCUUCAAACGACAACAAGAGAGACAGAAAGUAUCUGGUUCAACCGCUGCCCAAGCAGGCAGGCACCAGAAGAGCUAGCAGCCAAUCCGGCCAUGCUCGAAGCCAGCUCUGCAGCUCAGCCAAUCAGUGACAUCACUGGUGAGAAACUCAUUUACAUCAUGCAGUAAUGAACUUUGUUUAACAUAGCCUCCCCUCUUUCCUGUAACCCCCCCUUCCCUGUAUUAGGUCCUUCCAUUAAUUAUUCUGCUGGCAUAAUUUAAACCGCUAUGCAAAAAUGUGGCUAUAUUCUCUCUGAUAGCGUCUACCUUCUUUUUCUCCCUCCAUGGGUGUCUGCUGUCACUGAAAGUGAUUCUGGGUGCAAUUCUGUUUUGUUUUGACCUUGCCAAAUUACCUUCUUCUAAGAAAAAAAAUCUUAGAAAAAAUUAAACAUUUAUUUUAUCUGACCCCACUGCCCCCUUAGGAACAGCAUGCUUUCGGCAAGUUGGGAUUCAGGAUUGUGUAAGGUAAUGGAGAAUAAGUGGGUACAUUGCCUUGGAAGUUGCAAUUUUCCCAAGAAAUCUGCAUCUUAGAGCUUCCUUUAACGUGUCCAGAUUUUAUGCUGCAGUGGCCAUUUUUGCAUACAGUGCUUUAUCCAAAAAUCGCUUAUGUGCAUCUGUUACAGGGAGGAAAGUUCACUCUUGUUAUAUUUUAUUCUUUACUGCUCUCAGCCAAUGUGUCAUUUUAUUAAUGAAUAGAACUGAGGUCAUUUCUGGACAAAUCUCUCUCUUCCCAUCUUAGCACAAUGCACCUGAUUUGCAUCCAUUUACCAGAAAAACAGAAUGCAAGGACCAAUUGAAAAGAAGUUAAGGGACGAGCUCACAUAUUAUUUCAGAAUAUAUCACAGCCAUUUGUUUUUCAGAAUGUGUAAUAUUUAACAUCUGCCUUAGUGUUUCUAUAAAAAUGCCUGAUCUCCAUUCCCAAUGUAAUACCUUUAGCAAAUUUAUUGUUUUGUUAUAUAACCAAAAUAGAGCAAGAUAAAUAAUAUUUAGGAAUGAGUACAUUUAAUCAGCAGAAAACCUUUGGAAACACAAUUUUGUCUUGUACAUUUAUAUUUAAUUUGUCAGAGAUAAAUUCAUUUGUUAUAUAGAUAACUUAAAAAGCCCAGAACAUGUGGCAUGUGAAGAUUUU
rnacentral:lncRNA from 1 species